UAGGGAAGUCUUCCACAAUGGGCGGAAAGACCUGAUGGAGCAACGCCGCGUGUGUGAUGAAGGGUUUCGGCUCGUAAACACUGUUGUAAGAGAAGAAUGACAUUGAGAGUAACUGUUCAAUGUGUGACGGUAUCUUACCAGAAAGGAACGGCUAAAUACGAGCCAG
rnacentral:rRNA from 1 species